UAAGAAGUGAUUCUUAAUUUUAAGUCUCACUUUUGAAUUCUCCGGCAGAGUAAGAAGACGCACCUUACUGUAACACUCCCUGCAGAUCAUCUCAAAUACUCCAGCAAAAUGAAGGGUCUUUUGGUGCUUGUUCUGGUUUCUGUAAUUCUAAUGGCUGAAUUCCUCGGUGAAACUGGCGGAGUGUAUACUCGUCGUCGUCGUAUUUAUCGUACAGAGGAUGCACUGGGCGGAGUGUAUACUCGUCGUCGUCGUGUUUAUCGUACAGAGGAUGCACUGGAGAAUAACGAACUGUGUGUUGCCCAGGAGGAAGACGUUCAUCAGAUGGAGGAAGCUGUAGGAAAACUUGCAUUUCAACAGUGGAAGCCAUGAUUAUAUACUACAAAGAAUCCGCAACCCUGAGCCCUUCAUAUUAUGAAAAAACAGAUAUUCAAGAUUUAUUUUAACAAUAGUAUUGCUUUCUGAAUUAACUUUUAAAGUCCAGAAGAUAUAGAGGAACAUACCAUGAGCAAUGCUUCUUAACCGUAAUCUUCCCCAUAGAAUCAAAACAGGUACUGCCAACUUUCUCUACAGUAUAUUAUCCGAGUGAACCGGUUAUGUAACAACAUUCCACUGUGGCAGUUCCGUGUGUUAGUUGCUAGUCAACAGCAACACUUGGAACUGCCACAAUUAUCUCAGAAAAGAGUUUUAAGGGCUAAAACCUCAAUUUUUAUAUUGUCAGAUAUUGUUUAUUUGCACUGUUAUGUUGGCACAUUGCUAAAAUAGCAAUUGAUUUUAUAAUAAUUUAUUCUUUGUUUUUGCCUGUUUGCGAUUCUUGUGGAAUUUUGUGUGAACUUGAAAAUGUGACGUUUUCUCUUUGUUCAAUACCAACAACUUACAAAUCGUGUCUUUGUAAUUUUGGAUAUUAUAGACAAAUAAAAUGUACGACAUUGA